rnacentral:rRNA from 1 species
AGUGAACGCUGGCGGUAGGCCUAACACAUGCAAGUCGAACGGCAGCACAGGAGAGCUUGCUCUCUGGGUGGCGAGUGGCGGACGGGUGAGGAAUACAUCGGAAUCUACUCUGUCGUGGGGGAUAACGUAGGGAAACUUACGCUAAUACCGCAUACGACCUACGGGUGAAAGCAGGGGACCUUCGGGCCUUGCGCGAUUGAAUGAGCCGAUGUCGGAUUAGCUAGUUGGCGGGGUAAAGGCCCACCAAGGCGACGAUCCGUAGCUGGGCUGAGAGGAUGAUCAGCCACACUGGAACUGAGACGCGGUCCAGACUCCUACGGGAGGCAGCAGUGGGGAAUAUUGGACAAUGGGCGCAAGCCUGAUCCAGCCACACCGCGUGGGUGAAGAAGGCCUUCGGGUUGUAAAGCCCCUUUGUUGGGAAAGAAAUCCAGCUGGCUAAUACCCGGUUGGGGUGACGGUACCCAAAGAAUAAGCACCGGCUAACUUCGUGCCAGCCGCCGCCGUAA